rnacentral:tRNA from 1 species
AAUAUAAUAGUAUUAUUACAUUUGAUUUCCAAUCAAAAGUAAAGAUAAUAUUUUUGAUUAGAUUA